rnacentral:misc_RNA from 1 species
UCCGAGUUGACCCCGGCGGUCUUCUGUGAGUCCCCAUCACCCCGAAGGGCAUGCUGGCAACACAGAACAAGGGUUGCGCUCGUUGCGGGACUUAACCCAACAUCUCACGACACGAGCUGACGACAGCCAUGCACCACCUGUACACCGACCACAAGGGGGCGCCUGUCUCCAGACGUUUCCGGUGUAUGUCAAGCCUUGGUAAGGUUCUUCGCGUUGCAUCGAAUUAAACCACAUGCUCCGCCGCUUGUGCGGGCCCCCGUCAAUUCCUUUGAGUUUCAGCCUUGCGGCCGUACUCCCCAGGCGGGGUGCUUAAUGCGUUAGCUGCGGCACCGAGGGGAUGACGUACUUGCUAGGUAA